UACGUAGGGGGCAAGCGUUGUCCGGAUUUAUUGGGCGUAAAGAGCGUGUAGGCGGCCAGACAGGUCCGUUGUGAAAACUCGAGGCUCAACCUCGAGAUGUCGAUGGAAACCGUCUGGCUAGAGUCCGGAAGAGGAGUGUGGAAUUCCUGGUGUAGCGGUGAAAUGCGCAGAUAUCAGGAAGAACACCUAUGGCGAAGGCAGCACUCUGGGACGGUACUGACGCUGAGACGCGAAAGCGUGGGGAGCGAACAGG
rnacentral:rRNA from 2 species